rnacentral:rRNA from 1 species
GACGAACGCUGGCGGCGUGCCUAAUACAUGCAAGUCGAACGCAGUGGGGACGGGUGCGUAACACGUGGGUAACCUCCCAUCAGAGGGGAUAACACUUGGAAACAGGUGCUAAACCGAUACUGAUGGAUGGACCCGCGGUGCAUUAGCUAGUUGGUGGGGUAACGGCUCACCUAGGCCACGAUGCAUAGCCGGCCUGAGAGGGUGAUCGGCCACACUGGAACUGAGACACGGCCCAGACGCCUACGGGAGGCAGCAGUAGGGAAUAUUCGGCAAUGGACGAAAGUCUGAUGGAGCAACGCCGCGUGAGUGAAGAAGGUUUUCGGAUCGUAAAGCUCUUUUGUUAGAGAAGCGUUAUCUAACCAGAAAGCCACGGCUAACUACGUGCCAGCAGCCGCGGUAAUAC